rnacentral:rRNA from 1 species
GCGCAUUGAACGAAAAGGCCGGUCCUCGUGGCCAGCCGAGGGAUGAUGGAGGGGGCCUCGGCCUCCUCUCGCAAUCCCGGGGCGUCUCGUCCUACGUCCGCUCGUCGGUCGAAGGUGAGGUGCACCAAGAGCAA